GUUUCGUGUGUUAGUGCUUGAAGCUUUGUCCAUCCUUCCAAUUGCUAGUCACUAUUCUUCAUUGAAUGGUGAUUAGUAUUGGAUCUUUUACUUUGAAAAAAUUAGAGUGUUUCAAGCAGGCUUUAUGCUAUGAAUACAUUAGCAUGGAAUAAUAAUUUAGGACUUCGGUUCUAUUUUGUUGGUUUCUAGGACUGAAGUAAUGAUUGAUAGGGAUAGUUGGGGGUGCUAGUAUUCAGCGGCCAGAGGUGAAAUUCUCGGAUUCGCUGAAGACUAACUUAUGCGAAAGCAUUCACCAAGGAUGUCUUCUUUAAUCAAGAACGAAAGUUGGGGGAUCGAAGACGAUCAGAUACCGUCGUAGUCUCAACCAUAAACUAUGCCGACUAGGGAUGAGUGAACGUUGCAUUUUCGACUUCAUUCGCACCUUAUGAGAAAUCAAAGUCUUUGGGUUCCGGGGGGAGUAUGGUCGCAAGGCUGAAACUUAAAGGAAUUGAUGGAAGGGCACCACCAGGAGUAACAUAUCGCUCCUGAACAGUAUGCAUAUUACUAGUCGCAAUAAUAAUGAUGUCCGACUAAACUAGAGAAUUGCUGGUAACAACUGAUCGACAUUCAUUGCUAAGCUCUACACCAGCUGUAGAGUGGCCCUGAGCGAAAGCUAAGGGUGCAGAGACAGAUGAUUUGUCAAGUUCGUUCAGCAGCUAAUGCAGACCUGGUCCACUGGUACUGCAGAAGUUCAG
rnacentral:rRNA from 1 species